UUUAUAACUAGGGUUUCACUCUCCUCAGUCAUUCAGUCCUUAAGCCGUCAUUUCCUCAUCUUCUUUCCUUUCUCCUCUCUCCUUUCUCCUCCAAAAACCUUAACAUCCCCAAUUUCCCACUCGAUGACAUCUUAUCAAUGGAUGUUCAGCUCUUACAAAACCCUAAAAUUCCAUCCCCAAAUCAACCAAAUUCCUCAAAUUCUCUCAAUGUCUUCCUCAGAGUUUGCCCCCUUCCAAUUGCUCCUUCCAAACCCUCUAAAUCGAAAUAACCUAAUUCGAAAAAACCUAGUAAGAGUUGUCUUACGAUCAAUGACGAUUCAUUCUAUUAUGAUUAUUCCCCCGAUUUACGAUUCUAACAGGUUGAAAUUUGAAGUUUACAACGGAUUUUCGCAUGUUUUUUCUUCAAAUUCUUCUCAGGUUUGUUGUUUGAAUUCUCCCCCUUUUUUAGUUUUUGGGAUUUUUUUCAAUUGAUUGAUUGCAUACUUUUUUAAGUGAAUUGUGGUUAUAACUGUGCAGGAUGAAGUGUAUGAUAAGCUCAUGAGACCAAUGGUUGAGGGAUUUAUGAGUGGAAAAGGUGGGCUUUCGGCUGCUUAAGGUCCUAGUGGUUCUAGGAAAACUCACACCGUUUUCGGAUCUGUCAAAGUACCCGGUUUGAUUCCUCGCGCUCUUCGCCACAUUUUUUUAUGCUGAAGCUGGUAAAUCGUCUAUGAUGUCGAGUCUUUGCGGUCCUGUUGGUGAAUUUCUCUCGAAGAUUAGGUAGAUCGAAGCCUCUUCAUAAGGUCCUUGGUGGUGGUAAACGAAAUUGCUUUGUUGGGGCGUCUUAGACAUCCAAAUAUUGUGCAGUAUUAUGGUUCAGAAACUGGUACUAAUAUACCUGAGGAGAGUCUUCCUGAGCCAUUUAACCAGAAGAAGCGUGAUUUGCUGUUACGUUCCUUCGAACAAUCAAGUACAAGCUCUCACAUUCAGAAAUUUGCUAGUGUAGCAGAGUCAGACACAACUCAAGCAUCCCAUUUUCUCCAUCUUCCAGGAAGCAUUUUUUUAAUGGGAGGCUCAUACAGUAAAUCAAGGGACAGUCUCCACAGUCCAUCGGAUUUCAUUUUGGUCAUACACAAGAGAUGAUUGAUUUCGCGAGGGAAGUUGGUGCUCCAGACAAACCACUUGAGUUGCAGUAAUUUGUGGAAGAUGUAAACGAUUUAACAUUAAUUUAGUGGAAAAUCAUUUAAAUCUCUUAUUGCCAUUGAGAUUUUCUUUUGCUCUAUUUUUUCAGUUUUAGUUAUUAGGUGAUAAUAAAUGUAUUUUUUUUUUGCUGAUUUUAUAUAUAUGAAGUACUAUUUUUAUCUCAA